rnacentral:rRNA from 1 species
CGGACGGGUGAGUAAUGUAUGGGGAUCUGCCUGAUGGCGGGGGAUAACUACUGGAAACGGUAACUAAUACCGCAUAAUGUCUGCGGACCAAAGCGGGGGACCUUCGGGCCUCUUGCCAUCGGAUGUGCCCAGAUGGGAUUAGCUAGUAGGUGGGGUAACGGCUCACCUAGGCGACGAUCCCUAGCUGGUCUGAGAGGAUGACCAGCCACACUGGAACUGAGACACGGUCCAG